CAGAGGUCUCAACCGUUGUUCGGAUUCAUUGGGCGUAAAGGGUGCGUAGGCGGCGGAGUAAGUCAGGUGUGAAAUCUCGGGGCUCAACCCCGAAACUGCACUUGAUACUGCUUCGCUCGAGUACUGGAGAGGAGACUGGAAUUUACGGUGUAGCAGUGAAAUGCGUAGAUAUCGUAAGGAAGACCAGUGGCGAAGGCGAGUCUCUGGACAGUUACUGACGCUGAGGCACGAAGGCCAGGGGAGCAAACGGGAUUAGAUACCCCGGUAGUCCUGGCAGUAAACGGUGCACGUUUGGUGUGGGAGGAUUCGACCCCUUCCGUGCCGGAGCUAACGCGUUAAACGUGCCGCCUGGGAAGUACGGUCGCAAGAUUA
rnacentral:rRNA from 1 species